CAAUAGCGUAUAUUUAAGUUGUUGCAGUUAAAAAGCUCGUAGUUGGAUUUCGGAUGGGACCUGCCGGUCCGUCUUUGAGAUGUGCACUGGCAAGUCCUCUCUUGUUGUCGGGGACUAGCUCCUGGGCCUCACUGCCCCGGGACUAGGAGCCGACGAAGUUACUUUGAGUAAAUUAGAGUGUUCAAAGCAAGCCUACGCUCUGAAUAUAUUAGCAUGGAAUAACACGAUAGGACUCUGGCUUAUCUUGUUGGUCUGUGAGACCAGAGUAAUGAUUAAGAGGGACAGUCGGGGACAUUCGUAUUUCAUUGUCAGAGGUGAAAUUCUUGGAUUUAUGAAAGACGAACUUCUGCGAAAGCGUUUGUCAAGGAUGUUUUCAUUA
rnacentral:rRNA from 1 species